AUACUCUGGUUUCUCUUCAGAUCAUAUACAUCUUUUGUCUUUUACUAAAGAUUUCCGUGGAAAGGAACAAUUCUGAGUUUCUGACUAAGUUUUGUUUUGAGACGGAGUCUUGC
ensembl:snRNA U5 U5 spliceosomal RNA